CGGGGCGUGGCUCAGCUUGGUAGAGUACUUGACUGGGGGUCAAGGGGUCGCAGGUUCAAAUCCUGUCGCUCCGACCA
rnacentral:tRNA from 1 species